rnacentral:tRNA from 1 species
UCAUAGCUCAGUCGGUAGAGCAUUCGGCUGUUAACCGAAGUGUCAUAGGUUCGAGUCCUAUUGA